AUGCUGGUCUACGAGUUUAUCUCCCAGGGUAGCCUCCACGACAUUCUUCACAACAACAACAACAAUAACAACAACAACACUAAGGAGGUUCUAAACUUGGAUGCACGUUUAAGUAUCAUUGUACAGUCAGCAGAUGGUCUAGAUUAUAUGCACUCAAAAGCAAAUAUUAGAAUUCUUCACGGUGAUGUCAAACCAACAAAUAUACUCUUGGAUGAUGACUUUGUACCCAAGAUUUCAGAAUUCAGCAUAUCUAGGUUGAUUGUGAGAGAUAAGGAACACACUGGGUCAGUCAUCGGCGACCUGAAUUAUAUGGAUCCAGUAUAUUUGCAAGAAGGCCUACUCAUCGAAAAAAGUGAUGUCUACAGUUUUGGAGUUGUGAUCCUAGAGGUUAUUAGCAGCAGGAGGGCCCUACAUUCUGAGAAUAACAGCUUGGUAAAGAGCUUUCUUGAAGCCCAUAAGAAACAGAGAAAAGCGACCGAGCUUUUCGACGGGGAAAUUGCAAUAAUAAAAGAUUUGGAGCUUCUUGACAGUCUAGCAUGUAUGGCCAUGGAAUGCCUUAGCCUUGAUGUGGAUCAACGACCAACGAUGAUGGAAGUAGCUGAACGACUACACAUACUGAGUCGGUCUCGUAAGGCGCAAGAUGUUUGUGAAUAA
rnacentral:rRNA from 1 species